UCGAGCGGAAGGCCCUUCGGGGUACUCGAGCGGCGAACGGGUGAGUAACACGUGAGGAACCUGCCCUGGACUUUGGGAUAACCCUCGGAAACGGGGGCUAAUACCGAAUACGACACGGUCUCGCAUGAGAUCCGUGUGGAAAGUUUUUCGGUCUGGGAUGGUCUCGCGGCCUAUCAGCUUGUUGGUGGGGUAAUGGCCUACCAAGGCGACGACGGGUAGCCGGCCUGAGAGGGCGACCGGCCACACUGGGACUGAGACACGGCCCAGACUCCUACGGGAGGCAGCAGUGGGGAAUAUUGCACAAUGGGCGGAAGCCUGAUGCAGCGACGCCGCGUGAGGGAUGACGGCCUUCGGGUUGUAAACCUCUUUCAGCAGGGACGAAGCGCAAGUGACGGUACCUGCAGAAGAAGCGCCGGCCAACUACGUGCCAGCAGCCGCGGUAAGACGUAGGGCGCGAGCGUUGUCCGGAUUUAUUGGGCGUAAAGAGCUCGUAGGCGGCUUGUCGCGUCGACUGUGAAAACCCGCGGCUCAACCGCGGGCCUGCAGCCGAUACGGGCAGGCUAGAGUUCGGUAGGGGAGACUGGAAUUCCUGGUGUAGCGGUGAAAUGCGCAGAUAUCAGGAGGAACACCGAUGGCGAAGGCAGGUCUCUGGGCCGAUACUGACGCUGAGGAGCGAAAGCGUGGGGAGCGAACAGGAUUAGAUACCCUGGUAGUCCACGCUGU
rnacentral:rRNA from 1 species